rnacentral:rRNA from 1 species
GACGAACGCUGGCGGCGUGCCUAAUACAUGCAAGUUGAGCGCUGAAGGUUGGUACUUGUACCGACUGGAUGAGCAGCGAACGGGUGAGUAACGCGUGGGGAAUCUGCCUUUGAGCGGGGGACAACAUUUGGAAACGAAUGCUAAUACCGCAUAAAAACUUUAAACACAAGUUUUAAGUUUGAAAGAUGCAAUUGCAUCACUCAAAGAUGAUCCCGCGUUGUAUUAGCUAGUUGGUGAGGUAAAGGCUCACCAAGGCGAUGAUACAUAGCCGACCUGAGAGGGUGAUCGGCAACAUUGGGACUGAGACACGGCCCAAACUCCUACGGGAGGCAGCAGUAGGGAAUCUUCGGCAAUGGCCGAAAGUCUGACCGAGCAACGCCGCGUGAGUGAAGAAGGUUUUCGGAUCGUAAAACUCUGUUGGUAGAGAAGAACGUUGGUGAGAGUGGAAAGCUCAUCAAGUGACGGUAACUACCCAGAAAGGGACGGCUAACUACGUG